rnacentral:lncRNA from 1 species
AGCCCAAAACUUAAUUGAGAAUUAAGAAGCUGUUUGAUUAGGUUCUAGAAUUGUGAAUUGAAGAACCUAAGACACAAACCAUAACACAUUGGGUUAAUGGGUUAGUAAAAAUUUGGUCCAUUAAUUGGGUUAGACCUAAAGUUAGAUUAAAGAUGACUUAAUUAGAGAAUUGACUAAAUCUAAUCAAUUGUUGUCUUAGAUUAGGUC